rnacentral:rRNA from 1 species
UACGAAGGGGGCUAGCGUUGCUCGGAAUCACUGGGCGUAAAGCGCACGUAGGCGGCUUUUUAAGUCAGGGGUGAAAUCCUGGAGCUCAACUCCAGAACUGCCUUUGAUACUGGCGAUCUUGAGUCCGGGAGAGGUGAGUGGAACUGCGAGUGUAGAGGUGAAAUUCGUAGAUAUUCGCAAGAACACCAGUGGCGAAGGCGGCUCACUGGCCCGGUACUGACGCUGAGGUGCGAAAGCGUGGGGAGCAAACAGGG